rnacentral:rRNA from 1 species
GCAGUCGAGCGGACAGAAGGGAGCUUGCUCCCGGAUGUUAGCGGCGGACGGGUGAGUAACACGUGGGUAACCUGCCUGUAAGACUGGGAUAACUCCGGGAAACCGGAGCUAAUACCGGAUAGUUCCUUGAACCGCAUGGUUCAAGGAUGAAAGACGGUUUCGGCUGUCACUUACAGAUGGACCCGCGGCGCAUUAGCUAGUUGGUGAGGUAACGGCUCACCAAGGCGACGAUGCGUAGCCGACCUGAGAGGGUGAUCGGCCACACUGGGACUGAGACACGGCCCAGACUCCUACGGGAGGCAGCAGUAGGGAAUCUUCCGCAAUGGACGAAAGUCUGACGGAGCAACGCCGCGUGAGUGAUGAAGGUUUUCGGAUCGUAAAGCUCUGUUGUUAGGGAAGAACAAGUGCAAGAGUAACUGCUUGCACCUUGACGGUACCUAACCAGAAAGCCACGGCUAACUACGUGCCAGCAGCCGCGGUAAUACGUAGGUGGCAAGCGUUGUCCGGAAUUAUUGGGCGUAAAGGGCUCGCAGGCGGUUUCUUAAGUCUGAUGUGAAAGCCCCCGGCUCAACCGGGGAGGGUCAUUGGAAACUGGGAAACUUGAGUGCAGAAGAGGAGAGUGGAAUUCCACGUGUAGCGGUGAAAUGCGUAGAGAUGUGGAGGAACACCAGUGGCGAAGGCGACUCUCUGGUCUGUAACUGACGCUGAGGAGCGAAAGCGUGGGGAGCGAACAGGAUUAGAUACCCUGGUAGUCCACGCCGUAAACGAUGAGUGCUAAGU